CGGUACGACGCCCCCUCCUCUCGAUCCAGAUGCGACCUCUCUCCCGCUCCGCCGCCGCCCCUACUGCUCCGCCGCCGCCCCCUCGAUCUGUUUCCUGUGGCCAGACCCGGUCGGGGGAGCCGCCGUAGAGCCUCCACGUCUCGGAGCAGAGCAGCCCGAGGUGUGCGUCGAUCUCGUCCCGCAGAUCGCCGGCGGGGCCACGACCACCUCAUUCAUUGUCGCGGUGGUGCUUCUCCCUGCGUCGCCGUCGUUGGUUCGCCUCACUGGGUGUCCUAAUUUGUUUGCAGAUUGAUGAGAAUUUGGCGAGGGAGAUCAUAAACCACCGCUCGCUGCGGCACAUCAAUUGUUGAAUUCGCUUGAAGGAGGGAUGACGAACAACAUGGGAACAAGGAGGAACUUUACAUCGAGACGAUGUUUCCUCUCUCCCAUUCUCUUUCCUUUCCGAGCCGUUCACAAUCGUUAGAGAGGUGGACAUUGAUUGGGAGGGAGGAUAAGAGGCCUCAGAUCGUGGAUCCUCUUUGAUCCAGACCUCCUCGACGCCUUGCGCGCCAUCAUCUACACAUACACCCACGCGCUCGGGUGCGAAGUGUCCACACAUGCGCCCGACUAGGACGAGCUCGGCGUGCUUCUGCCGGGCCAAACGGCGCCAUGCCCCUGUUGUUGUGGACCUGUGGUGGUACAUCAACGAAGAUGAUGAUGAGGUGGCGCUACAUGAGCGGUCGUGGCGCCACCCGAUGCUCCAUCACGCCUUGCGCAGGGGUGCAAGCAAGGUGGCCUGGUUCAUCAUGUGCGGCGCAUGGAGUGGUCGGCUGGUUGCCAUUGGCUCUAUGAACAUGGCUCGGCCGCUGCCAUCACUGUGAACCGCAUGUUGUUCCUCAGAUGCAACAAGAAUGACUUCUUGGGUUCACUGUACUUUCUAAACGGUUGUAACUUUUUUGCUUCUGAAGUGUCAUAGGAUACCAAAAAUCUGGAUGAUAUAUUAGUCACCUGCAGUCCUUGACAAGAAUUGAUCCAAAGGACGAAAACUUAUAAAGUCCUCAAGCACAUAAACUACAGGAAGUUGGAAGCAGAGAAAAUGGAUUGGGACAAGGAGCCAGACAGAGGAUGAGGAGGGGCUCAGCGGAACAAAUGGCCAAGGAGAAAAAAGUAGCUAUCGCCACAAGCAUCAAGAUAUGUGGGCUUCAUGUAACUCAUGCUUCCUACCAAUACGUAUUUCAUAAUUUCCAUUGAAUACCUCAAAUGAUCUGAGCUUGUCUGUUAUUUUUUGCUGAACAGUCCACUCCGCACCACAUGAGAAAUCUACACAUUUUUUUUGUUAUAAUCAGAUUUAUUCUCUAGCCAAGAAUUAUGACUAAUUUCUCAGGCCUGAAGAACCAGUAUAUAAUCAUAGUUGCUUAAUUAGUUAGGGAUGUUUCGGCAAUUGUUUUUACCACCACUAUUAAUCACAAUGUUCUGUUUGUUGUAGGCAUCAUUUACUAUCCUGCAGAAUACAUCGGUAAGUUGAGGUGUGUUUGAGUAGCCUUGCUAUCCAAAUAGUUUAUAAUCCUUUUAUGCAUCUUGUUGUGAGACUGUUAUUUUCUUAAUUUAUUAAUGCUUGAUGGUUCUUGCGGGCAUGGCUAUUACGGAAGAUAUGAUCAGACAUACGAGUCAAGAUAGUGAGGGAGUAAUAGUUCUUGCAUAUGAAAGUGGAACCUUGUAGCAUGUGGGUUUGUAAAAAUAGUCAUUAUGAGAAUGCCUGCAAAUGUUCAUGAUUAACAUAUUUGCAUAUUUUGAUGAAAUGCGAUCCUUGAAA